rnacentral:rRNA from 1 species
UACGUAGGGUGCAAGCGUUAAUCGGAAUUACUGGGCGUAAAGCGUGCGAAGGCGGUUAUGUAAGACCGAUGUGAAAUGCCCGGGCUCAACCUGGGAACUGCAUUUGUGACUGCAUGGCUAGAGUUUGGCAGAGGGGGGUAGAAUUCCACGUGUAGCAGUGAAAUGCGUAGAUAUGUGGAGGAAUACCGAUGGCGAAGGCAGCCCCCUGGGUCAAGACUGACGCUCAUGCACGAAAGCGUGGGGAGCAAACAGG